UACAGAGGUCUCAAGCGUUGUUCGGAUUCAUUGGGCGUAAAGGGUGCGUAGGCGGCGCGGUAAGUCGGGUGUGAAAUCUCGGAGCUUAACUCCGAAACUGCAUUCGAUACUGCCGUGCUUGAGGACUGGAGAGGAGACUGGAAUUUACGGUGUAGCGGUGAAAUGCGUAGAUAUCGGGAGGAACACCAGUGGCGAAGGCGGUUACCUGGAGCUUUGCUGACGCUGAUGCGCGAAAGCGUGGGGGAGCGAGUCCGG
rnacentral:rRNA from 1 species